rnacentral:misc_RNA from 1 species
CGGAGUUCAGUCUUCCCAGGCCCACCACUUUCAUCGAGUGAGCAUUCGUCUUCUGGUUACGGGGCCAUAGCUCAGCUGGGAGAGCGCGUGCUUUGCAAGCAUGAGGUCGUCGGUUCGAUCCCGUCUGGCUCCACCAGAUGGUUUGAUCACCGAGAUCUUGACCGUCGUCCGCGAAACAUCACUUCGCAUCCUGCUAGUCUGGAUAGACAGCAGUUUGCGUGUUUUCUGACAUCGUAAAGAGGAGAUCGAUCCGAGUUGGGUCGUGCAGCAUAUCGUUGCGCGAGCCUUCAUUAUCUCCGGAUCAUUUCGGCGCUCGCUUCCAGCCGUGAGGUUGGAUGCGGGUUGUAAAUGAUCCUUUUAGCGAAGCUUGACCGCCUCGCUAUCGGAACGAUCUUACGAAGCAAGCUGGUCUUUCUAGUCAAUGUCCGGCUGCGGAUAGCGUUCAUCGAGGGCGCGUGCCGCAAGGCAAUUCUGCAGACAACAUUCUGCCGAGUGUGUGGACAUUGAUAAUGAGAGCAAUCAAGUGCCUUAAGGGUGUUCGGUGGAUGCCUUGGCGCUGAGAGGCGAUGAAGGACGUGCUACGCUGCGAUAAGCCGUGGGGAGCUGCGAAGAAGCUUUGAUCCGCGGAUUUCCGAA